CUUGGUCAUUUAGAGGAAGUAAAAGUCGUAACAAGGUUUCCGUAGGUGAACUGCGGAAGGAUCAUUACUGUAAAAAGGGUUGAUGCUGGUAGUUUAUCUACAUGUGCUCACUCUUCUGAUUUAUUUACACCUGUGCACUUAAUUUUUUUCAAGGGUACUCGCCUUUGGAGCUUAAUAGCCCCUAACCCCUAUAUUGAAGUAAUGGAUGUUUAUCUGCCACAAGGUAAAAUUUUUAAUACAACUUUUAACAACGGAUCUCUUGGCUCUCGCAUCGAUGAAGAACGCAGCGAAAUGCGAUAAGUAAUGUGAAUUGCAGAAUUCAGUGAAUCAUCGAAUCUUUGAACGCACCUUGCGCUCUCUGGUAUUCCGGGGAGCACACCUGUUCGAGUGUUAUUAAGACUAUCAAACAAAGGUGUCUAUCUCUGUUUGGAUUUGGGCUUUGCUGCAUUAAUGUGGCUAGUCUUAAAUAUAUUAGCUGGUCCUUGUUGAGGGUUUUGGUUCUACUCAGCGUGAUAAUUAUCUAACGUUGAGGACAGUUUCAGACCUGGCCAUAGUGAAAACUGGCCAUAGCUCUCUCUGGAUUGCUUCUAAAUUGUCUUGAGGACAAUUGCUUAAUUUCUGACCUCGAAUCAGGUGGGACUACCCGCUGAACUUAAGCAUAUCAAUAAGCGGAGGA
rnacentral:rRNA from 1 species